rnacentral:rRNA from 1 species
GGGUGCGAGCGUUAAUCGGAAUUACUGGGCGUAAAGCGAGCGCAGACGGUUACUUAAGCAGGAUGUGAAAUCCCCGGGCUCAACCUGGGAACUGCGUUCUGAACUGGGUGACUAGAGUGUGUCAGAGGGAGGUAGAAUUCCACGUGUAGCAGUGAAAUGCGUAGAGAUGUGGAGGAAUACCGAUGGCGAAGGCAGCCUCCUGGGAUAACACUGACGUUCAUGCUCGAAAGCGUGGGUAGCAAACAGGAUUAGAUACCCUGGUAGUCAAGGGCG